GGGGGGAUAUGGCGAAAUUGGUAGACGCUACGGAC
rnacentral:tRNA from 1 species